rnacentral:rRNA from 1 species
ACUCCUACGGGAGGCAGCAGUGGGGAAUCUUGCACAAUGGAGGAAACUCUGAUGCAGCGAUGCCGCGUGAGUGAAGAAGGCCCUUGGGUUGUAAAGCUCUUUCGUCGGGGAAGAAAAUGACUGUACCCGAAUAAGAAGGUCCGGCUAACUUCGUGCCAGCAGCCGCGGUAAUACGAAGGGACCUAGCGUAGUUCGGAAUUACUGGGCUUAAAGAGUUCGUAGGUGGUUGAAAAAGUUAGUGGUGAAAUCCCAGAGCUUAACUCUGGAACUGCCAUUAAAACUUUUCAGCUAGAGUAUGAUAGAGGAAAGCAGAAUUUCUAGUGUAGAGGUGAAAUUCGUAGAUAUUAGAAAGAAUACCAAUUGCGAAGGCAGCUUUCUGGAUCAUUACUGACACUGAGGAACGAAAGCAUGGGUAGCGAAGAGGAUUAGAUACCCUCGUAGUCCAUGCCGUAAACGAUGUGUGUUAGACGUUGGAAAUUUAUUUUCAGUGUCGCAGGGAAACCGAUAAACACACCGCCUGGGGAGUACGACCGCAAGGUUAAAACUCAAAUGAAUUGACGGGGACCCGCACAAGUAGUGGAGCAUGUGGUUUAAUUCGAAGAUACGCGCAGAACCUUACCAACACUUGACAUGUUCGUCGCGACUCUAAGAGAUUAGAGUUUUCGGUUCGGCCGGACGAAACACAGGUGCUGCAUGGCUGUCGUCAGCUCGUGUCGUGAGAUGUUGGGUUAAGUCCCGCAACGAGCGCAACCCUCACUUUUAGUUGCCAUCAUUAAGUUGGGCACUCUGAAAGAACUGCCAGUGAUAAGCUGGAGGAAGGUGGGGAUGACGUCAAGUCCUCAUGGCCCUUACGUGUUGGGCUACACACGUGCUACAAUGGCAUCUACAACAGGAAGCAAAACGGCAACGUUAAGCAAAUCCCGAAAAGAUGCCUCAGUUCGGAUUGCACUCUGCAACUCGAGUGCAUGAAGCUGGAAUUACUAGUAAUCGUGGAUCAGCGUGCCACGGUGAAUGCGUUCCCGGGUCUUGUACACACCGCCCGUCACACCAUGGGAGUUGGUUCUACCUUAAGGCAAGGUUUCAAACCCUUGACCACGGUAUAGUCAGCGACUGGGGUGAAGUCGUAACAAGGUAGCCGUAGGGGAACCUGCGGCUG